UACGUAUGGGGCAAGCGUUAUCCGGAUUUACUGGGUGUAAAGGGCGUGUAGCCGGGCUUACAAGUCAGACGUGAAAUCCGGGGGCUCAACCCCCGAACUGCAUUUGAAACUGUAGGUCUUGAGUAUCGGAGAGGCAGGCGGAAUUCCUAGUGUAGCGGUGAAAUGCGUAGAUAUUAGGAGGAACACCAGUGGCGAAGGCGGCCUGCUGGACGACAACUGACGGUGAGGCGCGAAAGCGUGGGGAGCAAACAGG
rnacentral:rRNA from 1 species